AACGAACGCUGGCGGCAUGCCUAACACAUGCAAGUCGAACGAGACCUUCGGGUCUAGUGGCGCACGGGUGCGUAACGCGUGGGAACCUGCCCUUAGGUUCGGAAUAACUCCCCGAAAGGGGUGCUAAUACCGGAUAAUGUCUUCGGACCAAAGAUUUAUCGCCUUUGGAUGGGCUCGCGUUGGAUUAGCUAGUUGGUAGGGUAAAAGCCUGCCAAGGCGACGAUCCAUAGCUGGUCUGAGAGGAUGAUCAGCCACACUGGGACUGAGACACGACCCAGACUCCUACGGGAGGCAGCAGUGGGGAAUAUUGGACAAUGGGCGAAAGCCUGAUCCAGCAAUGCCGCGUGAGUGAUGAAGGCCUUAGGGUUGUAAAGCUCUUUUACCCGGGAUGAUAAUGACAGUACCGGGAGAAUAAGCUCCGGCUAACUCCGU
rnacentral:rRNA from 1 species